UGCCCCCUGGCCCAGCUGGUUAAGGCGCACGACUGUUAUUCCCGUUCUUUCCGGCUCGGCAGUCCUCUACCGACGGUUACGGAUCAAGUAUAUCGUGAGAUCGAGAGUUCAACCCUCUCGGGGGCAG